AGGCGCUAGGGAUUUGACAAAGUGCCAAAAACCAUAUAUACUAAAAUCCGUGCAGUCGGCAUAGGGCUUUGGCUUCCAUAGCCGCCCUUAAUAAGUGGCGUUGACGUCUGGGUCUUACGCAAUGGGAACUGUGAACCGUGUCAGGUUGGGAACAAAGCAGCACUAAGCAGUCAACCCCAUGUGCCGUAAGGGUGCCUGGGCCGAGUUAACUGUUAAGGUAACGUGUGGAAGUGUCACCCUAUGCCGGCUGUGCUU
rnacentral:SRP_RNA from 1 species